GGGAGGGUGAAGUGCCGCCGUGUUCUGCCCACCAGUCACACACCAUCGGGUGUUGCUCCAGGACCUUGCUUCAGAAAUGGCAGUAUAGAUGGUGAAUUGAGUCUCUUUAAAUUAGGUCGAAAAAAUGAUUGAUGUUUAUACCUAUGAGGGUAUAUAUGGCAAUGGAAGCAUCUUGAUUCCACCCUACCUGGCUGUUUGGUCUGAAGGAAUGCUGGUCGGCUCGUCCAAGCCUAUGGGGAGAUGCUAUGGCAGAAGGUGGAAAGCGGGAGAGGGAGUGAUCCUUGAAAGAAAAAGGGGGGAAAAAAAAAAGAUGCAACAUCAGAAAGCCUGACUGCAGAAUGGCAAUUGUGAGAAAAGAAGAAAACAAUGCAAUUUCAAGAAAAUUCCUACAACUUUUUUGAUGCUGACAGCAGUUUUGAUAUGAGGAGAUCUGCUUGGAUUCUUGGUCAAGGUCAAGAUUGCAAAUGGCCAUUUGUUGGUCCACCAUCUUGGAUAUUGAGAAGAAGAGCUGUCCAUGCUUACACAGACAGUGGGUAUCACCAUCACGGGGAUAAGUGUGCACUGCUCAAGUGUACCAUUGGAAGACAUGACUUCAGUGUACCCUUCUUCACAACUGCAUGUCCUUGUCUGCAGGAGAACAAGACUUACACUGUACAUGCAAGUUGAUCUUUACGGGGAUAAAUACAUGGGAUACUCUAUGGAAAAGAAAUUGAAAAUAUGAUUUCUACAGCUUCUGCUCGGGGCACAGAUGUUGGUUCUCUAGUUCUUGUAUAAUCACCGCUCUAGAACGGACCUGUAUUCCACCAAAACCGAGGUCCUCGCCAUUCACACAGGUCAGCUGACACAGGCUCCAGGAAGACCAGUCCUUCAAAUAACAGUCACCUGCAAAACACAGGGCUCAGUGACCUGGGCUGCUGCCACAUUCCUGGAGACUGAGCAGCCUUGGGUGCAAGGAUGGACUGUCCUGGGUCUGAGAAGGAUAUGCCAGCAACUGAGCCCCUGUAGGGGGGCUUUCCUGGUGGCUCAGCUGGUAAAGAAUCCACCUGCAGUGCAGGAGACCCCUGUUGGAUUCCUGGGUUGGGACAAGGUCUCCUGGAGAAGGGAUAGGCUACCAUUCCAGUAUUCCUG